rnacentral:lncRNA from 1 species
UUAAGUUCUAAAAUCUGUAUGUAAUUCAUGGUCAUUUGCAUGACUGCCUUGGUAUACAUACAUAUUUUUUUAUCUAAUAAAGAAUACUUUACUAAGAUUUUCACUCUAAAAAAAUAUGUUACAAUAGGUAGUAUUGUAUUGGUUGUGGUAACUAUAAAUACAUUAAGACAAGGACCAUUAAAUACUAAUUUUUUAACACAUUUUCAGUUACGCUGAAAAUAAAGCUCAAUUUUAUCAAAAAUAUAAUCUAUUAUAAACAAACUAAACAUAUCAAUAAAAAUAAUUAAAAAAUACAGAGUGUUGUUGACAACAACAAAAACUGAAUUUUGUUUCAGUGUACAGAAAAUAAAAUUAAAGUUCAAUAUUCUGUUUUGAUCUCCAUUUUUUCCUCCAUAAAUGGAUUCAAUGAAUUAUGGCCAUCAAUUGAUAAAUACAGAACAAAAACAGAUCUUUUAAAUUUGUUCAGAUCUCUCUCUAUAUAUAUGUGUGUGUGUAAAAAACAUUAUGAAUUGAUCGAUUCCAGUCAACAAAAUCAGAUUUUAGCAGUACAUUUCAAUUGAUGUGCAAAACAAAUGACCAUUCAUACAGAAAAAAUUGUCAGUAUAGAAGAUUCAAAAAUCUUUGUUUGUCCUUUCGACUAAUCUUCAUACAAAUAAAUUACAAGCAAUAUUAAAAAAUGUUUCAAUCAUAACAAAAACGUAAGAACAAAUCGGAUGGUAUUAAUACAGAAUUUCUAAAUAAAACUCAAUUGUCAAAAAUAAGGUUCAAACAAAUUUGAACAUUGCUUGUGUAAAAAAGAGGAUUGUAUUUGGUCUUGCUUUUAAAGCUUAUACAAGUUAAAUCAAUAUAUUAAUACAAUGCAAAAAUCUAAAUUUUCAAAAACAAUUCUUUGUUAAGAAUUUUGUGCAGGCAAAACUAAACAAACAGCAACCAUGUGCAACUAUCAAAUAAUAUAUAUUUUACAUUCAACUCUGUAAUCUAUUACAAUAGAAAAUAAAAAUAAUUUAAAACAUCUGAAAACAAGAAUGUGUCCCCAGUACACGAAUGCCCCACUCGCACUAUCAUUUUCUAUGUUCAGUGGACUGUGAAAUUGGGGUAAACCCUCUAAUUUAGCAUUAAAAAUAAAAAGAUCAUAUCAUAGGGAACAUGUGUACUAAGUUUGAAGUCGAUUGGACUUCAACUUCAUCAAAAACUACCUUGACCAAAAACUUUAACCUGAAGCGGGACAGACGGAUGAACGAACGGACGAACGGACGCACAGACCAGAAAACAUAAUGCCCCUCUACUAUCGUAGGUGGGGCAUAAAAAGGAAAACUUCAUCAUAAAGAACAAAUAUUUCAGCACUAAAUGUUGGUGGUUCUGUUUGUUUAUCACAACAAAUUCAAAGAUAUAUUUAAUUUUGAACUAUUACCAAACAUAUAAAAUCUAUUACUAUGUUUAACUUUUAUCUAUUUUUCUAAACAGUGAAUGAAAAAAUCAGAACUUAUAUAACAUAAUUACUAUUUUUACAGCAGAGUUUGAGCAAAGGUUUUUCUUUACAUUAUCUCAGAAGAGUUCCAUGUUGCUAAUUGUUCAUUAACUGAAAUCACAAGCUUGAGGUUUAAUUGAAUGUCAUGGUAUUUUUCUUUAAUAUUACCAUUUUAUCAAGUUGUAAUGCUAACUGGGGAAAAAGACCAUUUAUCAGUUAUUUCAUUUAUUACUUAUAUGGCAAACAUGCAAUGAAAUUGUACUGGCCUCAAGUGAUUUUUUUUGGAUUUUUUUUUUUUCAAAUUAUUGUGUAUAUAAUGUUGUUAAAUUUGGAUUUCCCUGGUUAAAGCUUAGGACAAUGACUUAAAUGUAUAUGACAUAUGCAACAAAACUCAAAAGAAAAAAGUUUAUAUAUUCUAAACUUCUCCAAUUAUAUAAGACAAUAUAUAUUGCACAGGUGGUUUUGUAAACAGUAUUGGCAAAGCAAAGCUUUUUAUCUACAUGCUAAAAAAUUGGUUUUUUUUUAACAGUAGUCUUCCAUGUAAAAUUGGUGGUGAUUUAUAAAGCUAGAAACUCUAAAUUAUCUAUGCAUAAUUGAAUUGUACGUCCCCAAAAAAUGUUAUACAUGUUGUAAUUGAGAUCUUUUUAAAGAAUAAGAUCGUAUAAUUGAAUUUAUACAUAGAUAGUUACCUGAGUUUAACUUAAAACAUAACAGACAUACUUUAUUAGAAUAAAA